rnacentral:rRNA from 1 species
GAUGAACGCUGGCGGCGUGGCUAAGGCAUGCAAGUCGUAAGCUAGUAGCAAUACUGGCUUGGCAAACGGGAGCGGAACACGUACGCAACUUUCCCAAAACUGGUGAAUAGCCCUCCGAAAGGAGGAUUAAUACACCGUAACAUAUAGAGGUGGCAUCGCCUUUAUAUUAUAGCUCCGGCGGUUUUGGAUGGGCGUGCGCCUGAUUAGGUAGUUGGUGUGGUAACGGCUCACCAAGCCUACGAUCAGUAACUGGUGUGAGAGCACGACCAGUCACACGGGCACUGAGACACGGGCCCGACUCCUACGGGAGGCAGCAGUAAGGAAUAUUGGUCAAUGGACGAAAGUCUGAACCAGCCAUGCCGCGUGAAGGAUGAAGGCCCUCUGGGUUGUAAACUUCUUUUAUAGGGGACGAAAAAAGGGAAUUCUUUCCCACUUGACGGUACCCUAGGAAUAAGCACCGGCUAACUCCGUG